CUCUCAUAGCGGGUCACUGCGACCACUCGCGCUCCUUGCCUCGCUCGUACAUUCAUGACUUGUAUUGAGAACACCAUCUCGAGGAAUAGUUUGGAGGGUGACGUUACCAAGUAGUAAUUCUGCUGCUCCUCCAAGAUGGACUGGUGGCGACUGUUGCUGCUGCCACUUCCACUACUACUGCUGGCAGGAGGUGACGUAGGACCCCAGGAGGCAGAAGCUGUGUGUCAAACUGCUUCGGAUAAUAAUAUGCGAAGUGAACUUGUCGGGAAACACAACCUGAGUGUGUGGUUGUGUGGCUCACCAUCUUACUUCAACACCGGGGGUCGUGUGCACCUCUCGGACUGUCCCGCCAAUGAAAUUGAUGAUGGACAAGCAUGUAGCACCUAUACUGUUGAUAGUGGUACAACACCGCUAACAACCUGUACAGUGGCCAUGACGCCUCCCUUUAACUCUGUAGAGAUAAAGGAUUUCGACGGCGUUGCCAAGUACUUCGACUGUAUUGAGAACAUGGAGUGGUUGUCAGGCCGAAAGGGAAGGAUCUCUCAGUGCUUCCGUGACGCGUGGACCCCAAUCUACGAUAUCUGUGAUGAAGCCUGCUCCAUGCCGAGGGACUGUGCUGAAAUAGACAAGCUGAGACUGCCCGGGUAUAAUAUGUACACUGUUGUACCUUCAGGCGAUCCAAGAGGGCCAAACAAAACGGUGACGUGUUUAUUUAAUGGGUACACAGCUGUAUCAGAGGUAACUAGCUCUAGGUCAGUGACUGUUAGAAAUGGCAUAGAAGGACAUGGCGAAUUAAAUUAUGGUGACCAGCACACCUCCAUAUAUCCAUAUUUCAUUGGAAUCCGUCAUCUGGCUGAUCUGACAUGGGACGGCCCCAACUAUCGGCCAUUAGAGAUCAGGUUUACCUUUGAGUUCCAUGGACGUGAUCCGAGGGAGGCGACAUACGAUAAUCUGGUAAUAAAUAGGACAGAGCCUUAUCACAUCAUCUCGUUGGGCACCUACCACGGUACAGCUGGUGAUGGCCUCAGAGACUGUGUUGGAAAGGACUUUCUUGCCAGCGAUCAUAACUGGUGGUGGGAUAAUACUAAAGUAAAUGUGUCAGCAAGAAAGUGGGCUUCUUUUUCUAACAUCGCAAAGUUUAACAUCUCUGUUCGGCCCAUGGACUAUGAUAGAGAGACAAACUGCCCACCUCAGUUUGGUUGGGAACCAAGUUGGUUUUCUCACACCAAAGUUCAUAUUCCAAUGACGCGGUCUGUAGGAACGGUUGUCAAAUACCGGUGUGAGGGCGAGUUGUUCAUGGCAGGCAAUGGGACUACAGUAGCCCAGAAGCACAGACACGAAAAUGCCUCCUGUGUUAACGGAACAGAUGGAUCACUGGUGUGGGAUAAUGAGUUCUUCCUGCCAUGUGAACUGACGUGUCCAGACAAUUAUACAACUACAGUGGAUGGAACUUCUUGUGUCAGGUUCUCCGAUGAUGAGGCAGUCCACGGCAUCACCACGGCCUCACUCAAGUGCCACAGGGAAUUAGCAUCUAUGGCAGUGUGGAAGAAGUAUGGAAACCACAGCAAUAUACUGGAUGACCAAUACUAUUACACUGCCCAUGUCAGGAAUGGCAAUAUAUUUGAGGGAAACGGUUUACAACAAGGUGAAUGUUCUCCUAAUGAGAACUGUGAGGCCGUGAGUCACCAGGGCUGCUUGACUUUGGCUUUUAAUUCUGUGGGUUCCCAAAGGUGGCGCGCACAGGAGUGUGUUCGUAAUCAGACACGCUACAUCUGUAUGAGGCCAGCGUACUGUCACGGCUCAUACAAACCCUACAAAGGUCUCUGCUAUAAGGUGGUACCAGCCAGUUCCUACAGUCGUGACACAGAAAAGCAUGAGACGAACCACUUACGAGCCCUUAAUUAUUGUGCUAAUGAGGGUGCAUCUUUGGCCUAUCCGGAAAGUAUAGAUGAACUCGUGCACUUGGCAACACUGAUUAGGGAAGAGGGAGCAUGGGACUCCACGGAGAAGAAUGUCCUAAUAGGACUCAAUAAGAGGGGUGGUGAUUGGACAGCUGGAGGAGUGUACUCACCAGACAGUGAGGUGAUAGACCUGGCAGAGAAUGUGUCUACGAAGUAUUGGAUGAGGUACCUGACAAUAAGAAAUGACAAUACCAUCACUCUCACCCCAGCACGACUGAUUACCAACAUUGGUGUGAGCGUCCACUAUGCCAUCUGUCAGUUGUACGGGCUUACUGGCUGUGUAGAUGUUUUACCAGAACCAACAGUCAACAUGAGCAGGAACUGGCCUUCCAACUCUUCCUAUGUAGACGUUACAGUCCGAUAUAUCUGCUACCCCGGCUACUUCACUGAUGGCGACGUCAGCUUAACACAACAAAAGAUACAUUGUGGCGGUCCUUUUGGCCUCUGGGGUUUAAGAGAGUUGAAAGACUGUAUUGCUGUUGAUGUGUGUACGGAGACCAGUCUGGAGGAAGUUUCACCUUACCUCAUCGUCGAGAACAGUACCAAUCAUCACCAACUGAAUGGUACCAUCACCUUCACCUGUCCAGCCAACAUGUCCACCUCUAGUGGCGAGACCUCUAAGAAUGUCACCUGUAAAAAUAUGUACAACAACACCUACAGUUAUUUUCCAAAGGUUGUCGCUGCUUGUGAUGUGUGCCUUGGACAACCUGAAACAGAAAAUGCCACAACAGCUUGGAGUAGUAGCACAACUAACUACUCCCUCAACGAUGCAGUCAAUGUUAUCUGUAACGAGAAUCACUUCGUCGACUUGUUGAGCAAGAGACAAUCACUCUCCUGUUCCUACACUGGCUGGACCAACACCACACCAUGUUAUGAAGGCUGUGGUAACCCACCACCUAACCCUGGAGCCAACAUGACGCGGGACAACUUCACCAACAAUGCCAUAGGUGCCGAGGUCUCUUACACCUGUGAUGAUGGACUUAGCAUCCAUGAGACAUACCCUGACCUGACUAACACCAUUACGUUGACAUGUAAGGACCAUGUGUGGCUACCCAAUGACACCAAGCUUGAGUGUGCCAAAGUAUGUGCGGAUGACCCUCCAUCUCCGAUAUCUGUUGAUCCAUACCCCAAUGCCACAUCCACCUGGGACAACUACACUCGUGUUUCCGGCACUCAGGUCCAGUUGACGUGCCCUAGUGGAUACUUAUUUGCUAAUCAAAAUUCUACCAUUACUGUGACUUGUGAAGAGGAUGGAAACUGGACCUUGGUCAACACCAGCCUCAUCUGCAGGAUAUUGGCUACAGACCCACCACAACCCCCCGGCAGUGAGUACAGUGGCCCAGUACGGCCCUACUGGCAGUGGGACAUCCUCAACUACACGUGUCCUGGGGACAUGAUGUCUCCCACAGGAACCAACGCCACCUCUCUCACUUUUAAUGGCACCGAGUGGGUCCUGGAGGAACCUGACUUUCAAUGCCUUAAUGUGUGCCUGAGUGAUCCCCUGACCCCAGACCCUCCAAUCAAGACAACUUGGAAUGGUCGGUCCCGGACUGUCAACACAAUGGUUGAACUCUCAUGUCCUGACGGGUAUGUUUUCACCAACUUGAACUCCUCGGUUAACCUGACGUGUGACAACAACUCCCGCAAUUGGACUGACAUCGACACCUCCAUCCUCAUCUGCAGGAUAGUGGCUACAGACCCACCACAACCCCCUGGCAGUGAGUACAGUGGCCCAGCACGGCCCUACUGGCAGUGGGACAUCCUCAACUACACGUGUCCUGGGGACAUGAUGUCUCCCACAGGAACCAACGCCACCUCUCUCACUUUUAAUGGCACCGAGUGGGUCCUGGAGGAACCUGACUUUCAAUGCCUUAAUGUGUGCCUGAGUGAUCCCCUGACCCCAGACCCUCCAAUCAAGACAACUUGGAAUGGUCGGUCCCGGACUGUCAACACAAUGGUUGAACUCUCAUGUCCUGACGGGUAUGUUUUCACCAACUUGAACUCCUCGGUUAACCUGACGUGUGACAACAACUCCCGCAACUGGACUGAUAUCGACACCUCCAUCCUCAUCUGCAGGAUAGUGGCUAUUGAAGGUCCACCUCAGAUUCCUGAUAGUGAAUACUCGGGCCCAAAGCCACCCCACUGGCAAUGGGAUGUCCUCAACUAUACGUGUUAUGAGGACUUGAUGUCCCCUGCAGAAACCAACACCACCUCUGUUACUUUUAAUGGCACUGAAUGGGUCCUGGAGGAUCCUGACUUCAAGUGUCUUAAUGUGUGUGGGUCACCACCCCCAGCCUCCAACAGGACUACCUACAGUCUCACUGCAGCUCCAGUGACGGGAACUAUGGCUUCCUACAUCUGUCUUGGAGGUUUCCUGGUUUAUGACCCCUCCACCCUGGGUAACGACAACACCACAACCAGCCUCUCUAAUGACACCACAACCCUCAACAUCACCUGCCUGGACAGUGGCUGGAGCCUUAGUGACAUACCAGUCUGUAAAAUGUGUACCACUCCUCCUCCGGCUUCUGAUGUCGGGGUGACAAUUUCAUACAAGGGGGUGGACGAGUGGGGCGCUGUAGCCACCUACACCUGUGAGACCAAGUUUGUUGAUGACAACAAAACCAUAAGUGUUACUUGUCUGGAGGGAACCAGCAACUGGACAGUGACCAACCUGCCCCACUGUAUAGGUAAGGUGCUGGCAUGUUAGCACACACACACACACACUAAAUACAGUAAACAUAUAUUGUACUGUACAUACACAUGCGCACACACACACAUACACACACAUACACAUACAUGUAGUGCACUCAAAGAUACACAAUACAAACAAGCACACACUUUUACCGUUGACCCCUUAACUCAGGUAAUCAUAUCAACAAACGUUCACAGACUUUGAUAAUUAACAGUGGAAGAAAUUGUUGGUAUAUAAGUCAGAGGGACAUGGGAGUGGAGGAGACAGAGAGGGGGGGGGGGGUGUUUACUUCCUGAUGAAGGUUUAUCUUAUUAUUGACAAUAAUUUGGAGACUAAUGUACAAGUCAUUAUAAAUUUAAGUAACAUUAAACAUAAUGUGUACCUGUGUUUACCUCCAUUACCAUCCCUAGUUACCAUAAGUAUUACCAUCAGUUACCAUAAGUAUUACCAUCAGUUACCAUAAGUAUUACCAUCAGUUACCAUAAGUAUUACCAUCAGUUACCAUAACACUUUCUGAGUUUGUUUAUAACUGUUAGAUCACCUGAAGAUUACCCCCCCCUAUCCAGUUUAUUUCUCCUGAUGAUUGGGAGGUUAGGUUAGGUUAGGUUAGGUUAAGGUGGUUAAUCUUAAGGUAGAAUAAACUGGUGGGGUUAAUCUACAGUUGACCCUUAUUGUUAACUAAUACAGUUUCUUAUCUUAACCAUAACUUCAAUAUCCUCUACGAGUAUUCAUGGAACCAACACACUGGUGGGAUAAAGAAUAAUGUCAACUCUCAAUUGUUUUUUCCGGUGUGACUUGAUUGGCCACAAUUCGUGAGGCGCCUGCUCGUGAUUUUGUAGCGGCGCUUUCAGUCUGCUCACGCAUGCAUCUCCAGGACUCGCCCUCCUUCAGGACCCUCCCUCCCCUUCAGCCAGCCCUACAACACCUAACAGUUCUGCCAUAUGCCACAGGUCUCUAUUUCUCCAGGGACUCGACUCUUACUCCUUCAUCCACCCCAGCUCCGCUCCUCCUACCUUCAGAUCUAUG